rnacentral:rRNA from 1 species
GAUGAACGCUGGCGGCGUGCCUAAUACAUGCAAGUCGAGCGAACAGACGAGGAGCUUGCUCCUCUGACGUUAGCGGCGGACGGGUGAGUAACACGUGGAUAACCUACCUAUAAGACUGGGUUAACUUCGGGAAACCGGAGCUAAUACCGGAUAAUAUAUUGAACCGCAUGGUUCAAUAGUGAAAGACGGUUUUGCUGUCACUUAUAGAUGGAUCCGCGCCGCAUUAGCUAGUUGGUAAGGUAACGGCUUACCAAGGCAACGAUGCGUAGCCGACCUGAGAGGGUGAUCGGCCACACUGGGACUGAGACACGGUCCAGACUCCUACGGGAGGCAGCAGUAGGAAAUCUUCCGCAAUGGGCGAAAGCCUGACGGAGCAACGCCGCGGGAUUGAUGAAGUUCUUCGGAUCGUAAAACCCUGUUAUUAGGAAAGAACAAAUGUGUAAGUAACUAUGCCCGUCUUGACGGUACCUAAUCAGAAAGCCACGGCUAACUACGU